rnacentral:miRNA from 1 species
GCACCUUAGAGACCGACUAAGUUUUUUCUUGGUAUGAGCUUUCAUGUCACGAAAGCUCAUACCAAGAAGAAACUUAGUUGGUCUCUAAGGUGC